rnacentral:SRP_RNA from 10 species
ACUGAGUGCAGUGGUGUGUACCUGUGGUCCCAGCUCCUCAGGAGGCUGAUAUGGGAGGGUUGCUUGAGUCCAGGAUUUCUGGGCUACAGCCUAGAUCAGCGCUAUGCUGAUCAGAUGUCCACACUAAGUUCAGCAUCAGUAUGGUGAGCUCCCGGGAGUGGGUAACCACCAGGUUGCCUAAGGAGGGGUAAACCGGCCCAUGUUGGAAACGUGCAGGUCAAAACGCCUGUGCUGAUCGGUAAUGGGAUCGCACCUGUGAACAGCCACUGCACUCCAGCCUGGGCAAUAUAGCGAGACCCCACCU